UUCCUUCCUUUCUAUUAGUGGCAAAAAUGCGACAAUAUUUUUUUAAAGUCUAAAAAGGCACACAAUUAGCUUAGAGUUUGGUCUGUUAUCUAUCGCAAACCCUCGGCCAUGUCUGGUAUGUACAAUCAAGACGGCGGCGGUGGUGCGCCUAUUUCGUCCUACGGUGGUGAUGCUGGAUAUGGAGGACGCAGUGCCUCUGGCGGAGGUGGGUACGGCGGACGCGGUGGCGGUAGAGGAAACAACCGUGGAGGCGGUGGCGGUGGUGGAUAUCAAGGAGGUGAUCGCGGUGGAAGAGGAGGCGCCGGCGGCGGAAGAGGUGGUGGUGGCAGAGAUGGUGAUUGGCCUUGCCCUAACCCAAGUUGUGGGAACGUAAACUUUGCAAGGAGAGUUGAAUGUAACAAGUGUGGUGCGCCUGCUCCUUCUGGCACUGGUGACCGAGGAGGUGGCCGAGGGGCCAGUGAUCGUGGUGGUGGUGGUCGUGAUAGUGGUAGUAGGAGCUGUGAGAGUAGUAGAUAUGAUGGUGGCAGUAGGAGUAGAGGUGAUGGUGUUGGUGGUGGCUCGUACGGUAGUAAUAGUCAACAUAGGGAUAAUGGUUCUUAUAGUCAGCGUCCUCCACCUCUGGCUGCUAUUCCAUCGUAUGAUGGUUCUGGCAGUUACUCUCCUCCACCCAUGGGGUAUGGAAUGGAAGCAGUUCCCCCGCCUUCAAGCUAUGCUGGCGGUCCCCCUUCUUAUGGUGGUCCUUCAGGGGGUUAUGAUGGUGGUCGGGGUGGUAGAGGUGGUGGAUAUGAUGGUGGUAGUGCUUCUCGACGCCAGGAGCCUAGUUAUGGAGAUGCACCUGCUGAAAAAGUCAAGCAUUGCGACGAGAAUUGUGAUGAAACUUGUGAUAAUGCAAGAAUAUACAUCUCUAAUUUACCUCCGGAUGUGACCGUUGAUGAACUCAAGGAUCUCUUCGGUGGCAUUGGUCAAGUUGGAAGAAUCAAGCAGAAACGGGGUUACAAAGACCAGUGGCCUUAUAACAUCAAGAUCUACACUGAUGAGAAGGGAAAGAAUAAAGGUGAUGCAUGUCUGGCUUAUGAAGAUCCCAGCGCCGCACACUCAGCAGGCGGCUUUUUCAACAAUUAUGAAAUGAGGGGGAACAAGAUUGGUGUAACGAUGGCAGAGAAGUCUGCUCCCAAAGCUCCUACUUUUGACCAGAGAGGCGGUGGUGGUAGAGGAGGAGGCGGCUAUGGUGGUGGAGACAGAAGAAGAGAUAACUAUGGUUCAGGACCAGACAGAAACCACCAUGGGGGAAACCGGUCUCGUCCAUAUUGAGAAAAAGAGAUGAAUAAAUGAAACAGUUAUUAUGUGUUAUAAGAGUUUGUGUGUGUAAGGGGUCGGGGAUGUUAUAUGAAUCAAUCACAUAUUGGAGAUACCAAACAAAACAAGAGAAGGAAGUGGAAAAUUAACUCCAAAAUGCAUUGCAAAUUGGUGGGUAAGGGUUCAUGAUGAUUUUCAGGUGAGUGCAUUAAUAUUCUUUUCACUUUCUUGACAAGCACAUAACUCCCGUUGUUGUUUCUCUUCCUGAAUCUUCUUUUUGACUCUGUUCAUCUUGUAUUAUGCACUCAUCUAGGCAAACAUACAAUUCGUAGAUUUAUUACGUGAGAAACGGCAGGAGUAGAGCGACCAGCUACAUUUGUGUCUAAUCCGUAUAGCCUGAAGGAGGCAGUUGUGAAUUUAGUACUAACUAGGUCCGGGUAUUAUAGAGACCCUUUUGGCUAUAGCUACUUGAUGAGUAUUACAAAAGGAGUGGCGUUUUUAGGUCAAUACAAAAUUAGAAAUAAUGCAUCACGUAAGUUACAUUUCAGAGGCUAAAGGGAAGGGUGUCU